rnacentral:rRNA from 1 species
UGGAGGAAAGCAGGGGAUCGUAAGACCUUGCGCUUUUGGAGCGGCCGAUGUCUGAUUAGCUAGUUGGUGGGGUAAUGGCCUACCAAAGCUUCGAUCAGUAGCUGGUCUGAGAGGACGGCCAGCCACACUGGGACUGAGACACGGCCCAGACUCCUACGGGAGGCAGCAGUGGGGAAUUUUGGACAAUGGGCGCAAGCCUGAUCCAGCCAUGCCGCGUGAGUGAAGAGGGCCUUCGGGUUGUAAAGCUCUUUCAGCCGGGAAGAAAAGGCUGCGACAAAUAAUCGCAGUUCAUGACGGUAUCGGAAGAAGAAGCACCGGCUAACUACGUGCCAGCAGCCGCGGUAAUACGUAGGGUGCGAGCGUUAAUCGGAAUUACUGGGCGUAAAGGGUGCGCAGGCGGUUUUGUAAGUCAGAUGUGAAAUCCCCGGGCUUA